UGGAGAGGGACACUAAGGACUGCUCCUGGAUCUUGUUUAAACACAAGGAGCUGGGUUUCGAAGACUCCACGAGGGACUUUAGGACCCUACGUUACUUAUCGACAUAAAAAGAGGAGAAGAUAAAGCCUCACAAUUCUUCCUCCCACUUCCUCAGGCCCUUCGUAAAGGCGUGACCUGCUUCAAGAAACACGAUAUUUGAAAAUAUGAAAUCUACACAUCGAGACACAUUAAGAGUGACUGUUCG
rnacentral:lncRNA from 1 species